rnacentral:lncRNA from 1 species
CUCUCUCUGGGCAACAGGAUAAAACUGACAACUCUUACAUAACAAGCUCACCACUGCAUUGUGGGAAAUGUGAACAGCACAUACUCCAUACAAGCUAUCAAGUUCAGCCAAGGUAUUCAGAGGAAGGACAUUAUGUAAGGGAGCCCUAAGAACAGCAUUGAGAAGCUCCUGAGCAACAUGAACACGGCUCCAUACCCAUUCAUAGUUUCCCCUUUCUAAUGUCUUUACCUCAUACUCCAGGAUGGGUCCAGUCUGCCAGUGAGCAGGAGGCGGCUGCCAGAACACGCUGACUUUGGACCCGUUAACGGACAAGGAGACAUUUUGAGGCGGGGCAGUGGUGGCUAGAAAGUGAAUGAAAUGUGAUGGCAUUAGAGACAAUGAGAAGGGUAUUGUUAACACUUUUACUUACAGAGAAAAUGCUGCAAUGUCUACGGCUGUUGAAAUGCCCAAAACAGAUAAUAGCCACAAUUCAUAUAUAUGUAUAAACUGCUCCUCCACUUAGAGGAGGCUCUGGAAUGAUCACACACAAAUGUGUGGAGGCAGAUGGAGGGAAGCCGUAUUACAUGGAAGAUGCUGAAAUGACAUCUGUGAAGAGAUACAUCAACACUAUGCUUCAACAGUGCUUUCUGCAUUCGUUUAUUAACACAGUUGUGAAGGCUUUCAGUCUGGGCAUCCGAGAUCACAACAAUCUUGAGUAUUCUACAAACUGAAAAGACUCUAAAACUGGAUGUUGUAGACAUCAUUAAACUGGUUGAUCAUCCUUACCUUUAAUCUUGUAGGUGUAUGAUGCAGGUUUCAGAGGGUCCACAUUAUCACAUAUAAAUCUGUGACGUAAAUCUCCUUUUUGCACAUCUUUCAAUUUGACGUGGUCACACGAACCACUGGUGCGGUUCUGAAAUUCUUCACUAAUAUUCUCCAUUGUGGUCCCAUUGGAGCAGUAGACCAUCAGUCCUACGUGGGUCUUGCAUGAACUGUUCACGGCACCAUUAAUGUCAAAGGUUACAUUACCUCCAAGAUGUGUUGCCACUGGAGAGAAAACAAUAACAAAAAUAAAAACAUUUUAAGUGGAACA